rnacentral:rRNA from 1 species
UGGGGAAUCUUCCGCAAUGGGCGAAAGCCUGACGGAGCAACGCCGCGUGGGUGAAGAAGGCCUUCGGGUUGUAAAGCCCUGUCUUCAGGGAAGAAGAAAGUGACGGUACCUGAGGAGGAAGCCACGGCUAACUACGUGCCAGCAGCCGCGGUAAUACGUAGGUGGCAAGCGUUGUCCGGAAUCAUUGGGCGUAAAGGGCGCGUAGGCGGUCAAUUAAGUCAGAUGUGAAAACUCUGGGCUUAACCGAGAGAUUGCAUUUGAUACUGGUUGACUUGAGUGCAGGAGAGGACAGUGGAAUUCCUAGUGUAGCGGUGAAAUGCGUAGAUAUUAGGAGGAACACCAGUGGCGAAGGCGGCUGUCUGGACUGUAACUGACGCUGAGGCGCGAAAGCGUGGGGAGCAAACAGG